UACGUAGGUGGCAAGCGUUAUCCGGAUUUAUUGGGCGUAAAGGGAACGCAGGCGGUCCUUUAAGUCUGAUGUGAAAGCCUUCGGCUUAACCGGAGUAGUGCAUUGGAAACUGGGAGACUUGAGUGCAGAAGAGGAGAGUGGAACUCCAUGUGUAGCGGUGAAAUGCGUAGAUAUAUGGAAGAACACCAGUGGCGGAAGCGGCUCUCUGGUCUGUAACUGACGCUGAGGUUCGAAAGCGUGGGUAGCAAACAGG
rnacentral:rRNA from 1 species